UACGGAGGGGACUAGCGUUGUUCGGAAUUACUGGGCGUAAAGCGCACGUAGGCGGAUUUGCAAGUCAGGGGUGAAAUCCCGGGGCUCAACCUCGGAACUGCCUUUGAUACUGCAAAUCUCGAGUCCGGAAGAGGUGAGUGGAAUUCCUAGUGUAGAGGUGAAAUUCGUAGAUAUUAGGCAAGAACACCAGUGGCGAAGGCGGCUCACUGGUCCGGUAUCGACGC
rnacentral:rRNA from 1 species